GAUGAACGCUGGCGGCGUGCCUAAUACAUGCAAGUCGAGCGAACGGACGAGAAGCUUGCUCCUCUGAUGUUAGCGGCGGACGGGUGAGUAACACGUGGAUAACCUACCUAUAAGACUGGGAUAACUUCGGGAAACCGGAGCUAAUACCGGAUAAUAUUUUGAACCGCAUGGUUCAAAAGUGAAAGACGGUCUUGCUGUCACUUAUAGAUGGAUCCGCGCCGCAUUAGCUAGUUGGUAAGGUAACGGCUUACCAAGGCAACGAUGCAUAGCCGACCUGAGAGGGUGAUCGGCCACACUGGAACUGAGACACGGUCCAGACUCCUACGGGAGGCAGCAGUAGGGAAUCUUCCGCAAUGGGCGAAAGCCUGACGGAGCAACGCCGCGUGAGUGAUGAAGGUCUUCGGAUCGUAAAACUCUGUUAUUAGGGAAGAACAUAUGUGUAAGUAACUGUGCACAUCUUGACGGUACCUAAUCAGAAAGCCACGGCUAACUACGUG
rnacentral:rRNA from 1 species